CGGGAAUAUUGCGCAAUGGAGGAAACUCUGACGCAGUGACGCCGCGUAUAGGAAGAAGGUUUUCGGAUUGUAAACUAUUUUAGACAGGGAAGAAAUUGACAGUACCUGUAGAAUAAGCUCCGGCUAACUACGUGCCAGCAGCCGCGGUAAUACGUAGGGAGCGAGCGUUGUCCGGAAUUACUGGGUGUAAAGGGAGCGUAGGCGGGACGGCAAGUCAGAUGUGAAAUACAUGGGCUCAACCCAUGGGCUGCAUUUGAAACUGCUGUUCUUGAGUGAAGUAGAGGUAAGCGGAAUUCCUGGUGUAGCGGUGAAAUGCGUAGAUAUCAGGAGGAACACCGGUGGCGAAGGCGGCUUACUGGGCUUUUACUGACGCUGAGGCUCGAAAGCGUGGGGAGCAAACAGGAUUAGAUACCCUAGUAGUCCACGCCGUAAACGAUGAGAACUAGGUGUUGGGGGAAUAACUCAGUGCCGCAGUUAACGCAGUAAGUUCUCCGCCUGGGGAGUAUGCACGCAAGUGUGAAACUCAAAGGAAUUGACGGGGGCCCGCACAAGCGGUGGAGUAUGUGGUUUAAUUCGAAGCAACGCGAAGAACCUUACCAAGUCUUGACAUCCCACUGACCGGACAGUAAUGUGUCCUUUCCUUCGGGACAGUGGUGACAGGUGGUGCAUGGUUGUCGUCAGCUCGUGUCGUGAGAUGUUGGGUUAAGUCCCGCAACGAGCGCAACCCCUAUCCUUAGUAGCCAGCAGUAAGAUGGGCACUCUAGGGAGACUGCCGGGGAUAACCCGGAGGAAGGUGGGGAUGACGUCAAAUCAUCAUGCCCCUUAUGGCCUGGGCUACACACGUGCUACAAUGGUGCUAACAGAGAGAGGCGAAGCCGCGAGGUGGAGCAAAGCUCAAAAAUGGCAUCUCAGUUCGGAUUGUAGUCUGCAACUCGACUACAUGAAGCUGGAAUCGCUAGUAAUCGCAGAUCAGAAUGCUGCGGUGAAUACGUUCCCG
rnacentral:rRNA from 1 species